UUGAGAAGCCCGCGGCCCAUCAGCUAGUUGGCGGGGUAACGGCCCACCAAGGCAAUGACGGGUAGCUGGUCUGAGAGGACGACCAGCCACACUGGAACUGAGACACGGUCCAGACACCUACGGGUGGCAGCAGUCGAGAAUUUUUCACAAUGGAUGAAAGUCUGAUGGAGCGACGCCGCGUGGAGGAUGAAGGUUUUCGGAUUGUAAACUCCUGUCACUGCAGAACAAGGAUGUGCCGGUUAACAGCCAGUGCAUUUGAUGGUAUGCGGAGAGGAAGGGACGGCUAACUCUGUGCCAGCAGCCGCGGUAAGACAGAGGUCCCGAGCGUUGUUCGGAUUCAUUGGGCGUGAAGGGUGUGUAGGAGGUCGGGUAAGUCAGGUGUGAAAUCUCAGAGCUUAACUCUGAAACUGCGCUUGAUACUGCCCGGCUAGAGGAUCGGAGGGGGUAACGGAAUUCAUGGUGUAGCAGUGAAAUGCGUAGAUAUCAUGAGGAACACCGGUGGCGAAGGCGGUUACCUGGAAGAUCCCUGACUCUGAAACACGAAAGCCAG
rnacentral:rRNA from 1 species